rnacentral:tRNA from 1 species
GCUUCGGUAGCCCAGUCGGCAGAGCGCGUGCCUUUUAAGCCCGUGGCCGCGGGUUCGAGCCCCGCCCGAGGUA